GUUAAGCGACUAAGCGUACACGGUGGAUGCCCUGGCAGUCAGAGGCGAUGAAGGGCGUGCUAAUCUGCGAUAAGCGCCGGUAAGGUGAUAUGAACCGUUAUAACCGGCGAUACCCGAAUGGGGAAACCCAGUGUGACUCGUCACACUAUCAUUAACUGAAUCCAUAGGUUAAUGAGGCGAACCGGGGGAACUGAAACAUCUAAGUACCCCGAGGAAAAGAAAUCAACCGAGAUUCCCCCAGUAGCGGCGAGCGAACGGGGAGGAGCCCAGAGCCUGAAUCAGCAUGUGUGUUAGUGGAAGCGUCUGGAAAGGCGCGCGAUACAGGGUGACAGCCCCGUACACAAAAGCGCAUGUGCUGUGAGCUCGAUGAGUAGGGCGGGACACGUGGUAUCCUGUCUGAAUAUGGGGGGACCAUCCUCCAAGGCUAAAUACUCCUGACUGACCGAUAGUGAACCAGUACCGUGAGGGAAAGGCGAAAAGAACCCCGGCGAGGGGAGUGAAAAAGAACCUGAAACCGUGUACGUACAAGCAGUGGGAGCACCCUUUGGGGUGUGACUGCGUACCUUUUGUAUAAUGGGUCAGCGACUUAUAUUCUGUAGCAAGGUUAACCGAAUAGGGGAGCCGGAGGGAAACCGAGUCUUAAUUGGGCGUUAAGUUGCAGGG
rnacentral:rRNA from 1 species